UGCUUUCACUACUGUAAGUCACUCUGGAUAAGAGCGUUCUGCUAAAUGACUAAAA
rfam:Salmo salar isolate Sally breed double haploid chromosome ssa03, whole genome shotgun sequence.